rnacentral:rRNA from 1 species
UCAAAGAUUAAGCCAUGCAUGUCUAAGUAUAAGCAACUAUACGGUGAAACUGCGAAUGGCUCAUUAAAUCAGUUAUCGUUUAUUUGAUAGUACCUUACUACAUGGAUAACCGUGGUAAUUCUAGAGCUAAUACAUGCUAAAAACCCCGACUUCGGAAGGGGUGUAUUUAUUAGAUAAAAAACCAAUGCCCUUCGGGGCUCCUUGGUGAAUCAUAAUAACUUAACGAAUCGCAUGGCCUUGCGCCGGCGAUGGUUCAUUCAAAUUUCUGCCCUAUCAACUUUCGAUGGUAGGAUAGUGGCCUACCAUGGUAUCAACGGGUAACGGGGAAUUAGGGUUCUAUUCCGGAGAGGGAGCCUGAGAAACGGCUACCACAUCCAAGGAAGGCAGCAGGCGCGCAAAUUACCCAAUCCCGACACGGGGAGGUAGUGACAAUAAAUACUGAUACAGGGCUCUUUUGGGUCUUGUAAUUGGAAUGAGUACAAUUUAAAUCCCUUAACGAGGAACAAUUGGAGGGCA